rnacentral:rRNA from 1 species
UACAGAGGUCCCAAGCGUUGUUCGGAUUCAUUGGGCGUAAAGCGCACGUAGGCGGCUUUGUAAGUUAGAGGUGAAAGCCCGGGGCUCAACUCCGGAAUUGCCUUUAAGACUGCAUCGCUAGAAUUGUGGAGAGGUAAGUGGAAUUCCGAGUGUAGAGGUGAAAUUCGUAGAUAUUCGGAAGAACACCAGUGGCGAAGGCGACUUACUGGACACAUAUUGACGCUGAGGUGCGAAAGCGUGGGGAGCAAACAGG